AGAGCGAACGCUGGCGGCAGGCUUAACACAUGCAAGUCGAGCGGGCGUAGCAAUACGUCAGCGGCAGACGGGUGAGUAACGCGUGGGAACGUACCUUUGGUUCGGAACAACACAGGGAAACUUGUGCUAAUACCGGAUAAGCCCUUACGGGGAAAGAUUUAUCGCCGAAAGAUCGGCCCGCGUCUGAUUAGCUAGUUGGUGAGGUAACGGCUCACCAAGGCGACGAUCAGUAGCUGGUCUGAGAGGAUGAUCAGCCACAUUGGGACUGAGACACGGCCCAAACUCCUACGGGAGGCAGCAGUGGGGAAUAUUGGACAAUGGGCGCAAGCCUGAUCCAGCCAUGCCGCGUGAGUGAUGAAGGCCCUAGGGUUGUAAAGCUCUUUUGUGCGGGAAGAUAAUGACGGUACCGCAAGAAUAAGCCCGGCUAACUUCGUGCCAGCAGCCGC
rnacentral:rRNA from 1 species